AACCUGGUUGAUCCUGCCAGUAGUCAUAUGCUUGUCUCAAAGAUUAAGCCAUGCAUGUCUGAGUUUAAACGACUUUAAACGUGAAACUGCGAAUGGCUCAUUAAAUCAGUUAUAGUUUAUUUGAUAGUGUUUACUACAUGGAUAACCGUGGUAAUUCUAGAGCUAAUACAUGCGACAAGGCCCGACUAGGUGACUGGGAGGGUUGCGUUUAUUAGGUAUGAAAGCCAACAUUUUUUGUGGUGAAUCAGGAUAGUUACGCUGACCCGCGCUCGUUCGCGGGUGAAUCAUUCAAAUUUCUGCCCUAUCAACUUUCGAUGGUAAGGUAUUGGCUUACCAUGGUGACCACGGGUAACGGGGAAUUAGGGUUCGGUUCCGGAGAGGGGGCCUGAGAAAUGGCCACCACUUCCAAGGAAGGCAGCAGGGCGCGCAAAUUACCCAAUCCUGACACAGGGAGGUAGUGACAAUAAAUACUAAUCCAGGCGAUUUAUCGCUUGGAAUUGGAAUGAGAACAAUGUAAAAGCACUUAUCGAGAACCAAUUGGAGGGCAAGUCUGGUGCCAGCAGCCGCGGUAAUUCCAGCUCCAAUAGCGUAUAUUAAAGUUGUUGCAGUUGAAACGCUCGUAGUUGGAUGUUUUGUGCCCGCUGUGUGCCCGUUUACGAGGCAAUUUUUCUUUUGUCUCUGGGUGCUCUUUGGCGUGGCGCAGCUUUCUCCCGAUUGUGUCGUGCGUGCCAUUUGUUUGGGGCGUGCGGGACGCGGGGCGAUUACUUUGAAAAAAUUAGAGUGUUCAAAGCAGGCAGUUUUUGCUUGAAUAGAUUAGCAUGGAAUAAUGGAAUAGGACUUUGGUUUCUAUUUUGUUGGUUUUGGGGCCGAAGUAAUGAUUAAUAGGGAUAGUUGGGGGCAUUAGUAUUGCACUGUCAGAGGUGAAAUUCUUGGAUUUGUGCAAGACUAACGUGUGCGAAAGCGUUUGCCAAGGAUGUUUUCAUUAAUCAAGAACGAAAGUUAGGGGAUCGAAGACGAUUAGAUACCGUCGUAGUCUUAACCAUAAACUAUGCCGACUAGGGAUCGGUCGCAUGUUGGAUUUUUAUCAACGUGAUCGGCACCUUGAGGGAAACCAAAGUGUUUGGGUUCCGGGGGGAGUAUGGUCGCAAGGCUGAAACUUAAAGGAAUUGACGGAAGGGCACCACCAGGAGUGGAGCCUGCGNCUUAANAGGACUCAACACGGG
rnacentral:rRNA from 1 species